UCGCUCUCAGGGUUGCUCCUGGAGAGUUUCAAGUAUUCUACCGGUCUCGACGAUGGGAGGGAGAGUCAAGCAGAGGUAUAUCCAUUCCAUUCCUAGUUUAGCCAGUGGCUGGUGAGUGGAAGGCAAUCUGCUACAAGU